rnacentral:rRNA from 1 species
ACCGGUGACAAUACCGCAUCAGGUCUUUUUUGCGAAAGAGAGAGCAAAGCUCUGCAAAGGGCGCCUGGAGAUGGGCCCGUGGCCGAUUAGCUUGUUGGUGGGGUAAUGGCCUACCAAGGCGACGAUCGGUAGCUGGUCUGAGAGGACGAGCAGCCACACUGGGAUUGAGAACGGCCCAGACUCCUACGGGGGGCAGCAGUGAGGAAUUUUCCGCAAUGGGCGCAAGCCUGACGGAGCAACGCCGCGUGCAGGAGGACGGUCUUCGGAUCGUAAACUGCUUUUCCCAGGGACGAAGCAAGACGGUACCUGGGGAAUCAGCCCCGGCUAACUACGUGCCAGCAGCCGCGGUAAUACGUAGGGGGCGAGCGUUGUCCGGAGUUACUGGGCGUAAAGCGCACGCAGGCGGUCCAUCGCGUUGGGGGUGACAGCUGUCGGCUAAACCGAGAGAGUGCCUUCAAAACGGAUG